rnacentral:tRNA from 1 species
AGGGGGCGGAUGUAGCCAAGUGGUUAAGGCAGUGGAUUGUGAAUCCACCAUGCGCGA